CCCUGAACCGUAGGCUAGGACUGUAAACAGUUCAGCACUUUCCUGUGCCAACUGGCAUCUCCAAAGAGGGCUCUGGAGAUUGGUAAAAACCAAACUGGAACGGAUUCUUCCAGAACCUGGAGCUUAAAAAAUAAAAGGGGGCAGAGGUUUGAGGUGCUUUGCUCCUACUCGGUCCUAAGUGAGGCCACCUGGUGGACAGAGGCGGCAUUGCAGCCAGAGGGAGCAGCGCAGCCUGAAGAAGGAACAGUGUGGAAGACCAGAGACAGGAAGGCCACUGCCUCUUACAUCGUUCCUCUGGCUUCAUGGAAAAUCCCCAAAGUCCAGAAGGAGGGAAGCAAGAAGGAAAGACGGUGACAGAGAAAGUGCCUUGUCCUCUGUGGGUCAUGUGAACUGCCCCGCAUGGCCAAGGCCCAGAACCCCCGACUCUGGGGGGCAGGAAAACGGGGAGGAGGAUGUGGACACAGAUGCGGAAGGCGAUGGUGGGAGGGACCCCGAGGAGAACCCCCGUGGAGAAGGCCGCUGUCUUGGAGAAGCAGCUCCAACAACCGAUUUGGGCCAAACCCUGACACCAAAUGACGACAGGAGCAAUGAAUCGUGCCUUUCAGCUCUCUCGCCGACAGGGUCCCAUGCAAGCUUCACAAACAAUCUCCGAGUGACGCGAGGGAUGACAGGCAGAACCAAACCCCAUUCUGACAGGGCAGUCCGUCCCCUCCCCCUCAUUCGGAGAGGUUCAAAAGUGCUCUUGUCCCAACCAUCUUUGUCACCCCAGCUUUGGUGGCGAACCGUGAAGGGGAGGGCGUUUGUCCUGGUGUCUCAGCGAGACUGAAAGUCUUGGCAACAUGACCCAUGAAUGCUGUUUAGUUCAGUGGCUCUUAAAUCUCAUGAACCUUGUGUCAGUAUUAUGCCCGUCUCCCUUCACUUUAUGCCUUGCAACUGGGCAAGUUCACCUCCAGACUUUUUCCAAGCUCUUUUCUCAUUUUCCACCCUCCACACUUACCCAGCUCCUGGCCAGAAACAGAUAUUCCUGAGGAAGAGACUGCAAAAUUCACCUCGGUGAAUGGGAUCGCCUCCUCCUCCUCCUGCCUCUCUACAUUGUCCUGAUCAUUCAAGUUGGUUCAACUCGAUUCAGUUCAAGAUUGACUGAAUGCCUAUUCAAAGUGCAAGGCCUGUAUCAGGGAAACUGAACCAAGCAAACCAACCAACUGGUAGUACAAGUCAAAAAUUGUGCUUCCUUCCAGAAUAUUCUGGAAGGAAUAUUCAGGGUUUGGUCUCAGCGAAAUAUUUGCUUCAGGGGGAAAAAGCCCAGGGCUCGGGGAGGGAGGAGGGGAAUGGUAGCUCGGGGUUCGGGAUGGUGGCACCCCUGCCAUCCCUGGGCAUCCCUUCAUUCCUCAGAAUUGGCUCUGCUUUUUAUCUCCCCACCCUGGCCUUUAGCCCAUGCUCAUCUCGAUGGGGAUAACAGAGAAGCCACAAAGCUUGAAGUGUCUAUGGAGUUCUGUGGGACUGGAGACUCCUCUGACAUUGUGGCCCACAGGCAGUCUCCCUCUGAUCCUCUUCCUGAAAGCUCAGGGUUUGUGAACUGAGGGGUUUGUAAACCUUGUUUGCAAACAAAGCAUAGAUCUUCACUCUCUGAGAGGGAUGUCCAUGUUUCGGGUUGGGGUCACCUCUACCUGCCAACCUCUCGGCCUUCCUUCCUUGGCUGGCUCCUCCUGGUCUUAACCUUCGUUCCACUUCACCCUCCCAGACCUGCACCAUCUUCAGGCAGGCCAACGGCCU